rnacentral:lncRNA from 1 species
CAAGUCGGAAAUCAUGUCAUACAUGAUAUUCUGGGUCUGGAAAACAAGAAUGAGAAGAUAGAAACAGAGAAGGAAGAGGCUUAGUGACUUUUGCCUCAGAAGCGAACUGUCAACUCUUCAAGCUUCAGCACUGGCCUCUUGACAGGAAGGACCGACCGGUAAGCACAAGACUCAAAAGUCAAGACUAAGGAGAAAGAACAAGAUGGAAAUGAAAACAGAUUAACCACGUUUCCCUGAGUA